rnacentral:sRNA from 1 species
AGCGGUUAGCAUAGUAUCCCUCUGCAUCAAAAGCUGAUAAUUCAGACAGGGCAGCAUUCUGCAGGAAAACCCCAUGUUGCUGUACAGCCAAAUGUUUAUACCAUGCCUACUUUUUCAACUUCUUGAUAGUGUCAAUCGGGACUACAAGCACAUACAUUUCUCUACAGCCGUCCCCAUCUAUAGAGCACUCCCUCUUACCCUUGGGCGCAUCCAUCCCUACUCCAGCGGUUUGUAGGUCACAUCCCCCAUCAAUGAGGUGGAUCGGGAUCCAUUCUUCUCCUUCGUCUGGAGGGUUGUAUCCGUGAGGCAUGUCGGGAGAGAGGAGUCGUCGGGCGCAAAAAGAGAUGAUGGGUGGAGGGGUUGAAGGGUGGAGAAGGGCGAGAUGGGCUUUGAGAGGUGGAUAAAGAGAGUUCGAGUAUGAGCUGGUAAAGGGGCAGGAAGGGAUCCGGAUUGAGACGGGCGUGAUAGGGGUGGCAGGGGCGGUAAGGGCGGAAACCGGUGAAGUGGGAAUGAUGGGGACUGGAGUGAGAGGCGGAGUGGAGAGGAAGGGGGUGGAGAAGAUGGGACUAACGGGUUUGGACAUGGUUAGUAUGACAGGAGGUAGAUGAGAUGAUUAGCAGGUUUUUGUCGCAGGUAAGAAUAAAAUGAGAAAACAAAGAUGUACACAUUCCUAACUUCGACUUAUACCCUGUCGACUGAGAAACGUGACUAGGUCAUUCCUAACGUCACUCCAUUCACGUGUUGUUCCCAAACAGCCAUGACACUUGACAAGUUACACAUGACACAAAGCUCGCGGUUAGGUCCUUACAAUGUAUGCAUACCCGCAUAGCGAGUCUAUCCUUUCACCGUCCUCGACUUCCCGUAUGAUUCGAGAUCCUUUCUACGUCACCGCACCUCUCUCUCGUAUCUCUGUUUAAACGCCAAGCGAUCUUCCCAUGAACCUAUGCAACAUUAGCUAGACAUCAAUAUGUUAAGAAUGAUGCAACGCACCGUCU